rnacentral:rRNA from 1 species
UACGGAGGGGGCUAGCGUUGUUCGGAAUUACUGGGCGUAAAGCGCACGUAGGCGGCUUUGCAAGUCAGAGGUGAAAGCCCGGGGCUCAACCCCCGGAAUUGCCUUUGAGACUGCAUCGCUAGAAUUGUGGAGAGGUAAGUGGAAUUCCGAGUGUAGAGGUGAAAUUCGUAGAUAUUCGCAAGAACACCAGUGGCGAAGGCGGCUCACUGGCCCGAUACUGACGCUGAGGUGCGAAAGCGUGGGGAGCAAACAGG